rnacentral:misc_RNA from 1 species
GAUGAAGAACGUAGCGAAAUGCGAUAACUAAUGUGAAUUGCAGAAUUCAGUGAAUCAUCGAGUCUUUGAACGCACAUUGUGCCCCCUGGUAUUCCGGGGGGCAUGCCUGUCCGAGCGUCAUUGCUGCCCUCAAGCACGGCUUGUGUGUUGGGCUCCGUCCCCCCGGGGACGGGUCCGAAAGGCAGCGGCGGCACCGAGUCCGGUCCUCGAGCGUAUGGGGCUUUGUCACCCGCUCUGUAGGCCCGGCCGGCGCCAGCCGACAACCAAUCAUCCUUUUUUCAGGUUGACCUCGGAUCAGGUAGGGAUACCCGCUGAACUUAAGCAUAUCAAUAAGCGGAGGA